rfam:Reticulomyxa filosa contig78592_1.exp, whole genome shotgun sequence.
GUCGCUGCGAGGCGGGGUGGGAAGCAACUGGAGGCGAACCGGCAGUCCGUAGGGGACGAACCUGAUUCGGCGUUGGUCUGUGGCGAACCUGCUCGUUCGAGGUGAAGCCUGGAAGAAACGUGCGGCGCUGAGACGACUGAGAAAGCGACCGGACGACAGCCUGCGUGGUUGAGGAUGGAAUGUCGGGAAGGCAAGGCGG